rnacentral:rRNA from 1 species
UACGGAAGGCAGCAGUGGGGAAUAUUGCACAAUGGGCGCAAGCCUGAUGCAGCCAUGCCGCGUGUAUGAAGAAGGCCUUCGGGUUGUAAAGUACUUUCAGUCGUGAGGAAGGUGUUAAGGUUAAUAACCUUAGCAAUUGACGUUAGCGACAGAAGAAGCACCGGCUAACUCCGUGCCAGCAGCCGCGGUAAUACGGAGGGUGCGAGCGUUAAUCGGAAUUACUGGGCGUAAAGGGCACGCAGGCGGUUAAUUAAGUUGGAUGUGAAAUCCCCGGGCUUAACCUGGGAAUGGCAUUCAAGACUGGUUAGCUAGAGUCUUGUAGAGGGGGUAGAAUUCCAUGUGUAGCGGUGAAAUGCGUAGAGAUGUGGAGGAAUACCGGUGGCGAAGGCGGCCCCUGGGACAAAGACUGACGCUCAUGUGCGAAAGCGUGGGGAGCGAAACAGGGUUAGAUACC